rnacentral:lncRNA from 1 species
CAUGCAAAUGACAUGUCUUGAAUAAAAAAUGCCCUUAAACUACGAGCUUGACAAGACAAGAAUUGUUAUGGCUCUAGACCUUCAGAAGUGUUCGUCCUGUGUGGGGAAUGGCUUUGUAGGUAUAUAUGACCCACCUAGGCCUUAUUGACACAGAAGGUUAAACUGCAAGCUUUCUUCUAAGUGUGGAUACUAACAACAACCUGCAUAGAUGCCCUGUUGAAAGUCAGUGAUCUGCUUCUCAGAUUUGUCUCGUCCUUCAAAAUGAAUCUAAAACAGGAAGGAAUAUCUCCAAAUCAUGGAAGUUUAGACACAUGCAGCUGUUGUAUCCUCCAUCAGAAUGUUCCUCUCUCUUCGUCGAGUUUGGAUAUUGACAAACACCAAGACGUCAAAACACCAAGUUAUCUCAUCUUACUUGGAAUUUCCACUCUACUUACUUUUGCUUUAGAAAUUACAAAUUUUUUGUCCUUUGGAAUUCAGUCAAAUUGCAUGGCAGUUCUCAACAACUGAUUAAUAAGUUUUCUUAAGGAAUGAAAAUUUAAUUCAUAAUGUAUUCAAAGUGCUUUCUUAUUCCCAGAGGAAUAUGUGUAGUAGAAUUCUGCACUAAUAAUGAUGUUUUCUGUAUAAACUAUAUUAUUUUGGAUUUUUUUUCUUUCACUUUCAUGUUUUGAGUUACAGGAUAGCCUGUGAUCUUGCAAAACUUUUUUUUUUAAAAGUUUGUUUCAAAAUAAACUGUGUAGGAUGUUUGGAUGGGAGAUUGAG